UUUAAAUUGCUUGCCCAGGAGCAAGCAGAUUUCUUACCUUCCCAGGAUCAUCUCUUGGUCGAGGCACCUUUCGAAAACAUUUAUUCAGAGAGAGGUUAUGACGAAUAGAGUUCUGAUGAGAAAGUAAGAGAUACAGUGCCACAUGAAAGGAGGAAAACCCAUCCCUGGGGACAAGGAGGUUUGCAGAUGUGGUAACAGGAGGCACAUGGUUCUCACUAGUCAUGAGCCACAAAGGGAAAAGGGAUCCAACCAAAGGAAGCCACUGUCACCUAAGAGCACACGGCGUGCUGUUGCCUCUGAGUAUGAGCUGUCACAGUGUGCACCUGUCCACGGGGUCCGAGUCCUGCUCACAGCUACUGCGAGUGCAAGACAGCAUGGCUCUGAAUGCUCAGUGCUACUUCAUGGCACACAGGAAGCACCGUGCUUAUGGUAUCCUGAAUGGAAAAUUUGUUCCAAGCCACACAAAACACUGAGAUGGUUGUGAAAAUUAUCAGUUAGAGGAAGAUGAAAACUUUUAAGCCAUGUAUAGCUUAAUAUAAAUUGCUUGACUAAUUGUUUUGUUAUAAUUAAACUGUUAUAUGGAUAUGAUUUUCCUUUAAUGAAUAGAAAUCUCAACAAAAUAAGGUUCAUAUGAAGUCUCAAAGAAAAAUAAAAA